GACGAACGCUGGCGGCGUGCUUAACACAUGCAAGUCGAACGGAAAGGCCCUGCUUUUGUGGGGUGCUCGAGUGGCGAACGUGUGAGUAACACGUGAGUAACCUGCCCUUGACUUUGGGAUAACUUCAGGAAACUGGGGCUAAUACCGGAUAGGAGCUCCUGCUGCAUGGUGGGGGUUGGAAAGUUUCGGCGGUUGGGGAUGGACUCGCGGCUUAUCAGCUUGUUGGUGGGGUAGUGGCUUACCAAGGCUUUGACGGGUAGCCGGCCUGAGAGGGUGACCGGCCACAUUGGGACUGAGAUACGGCCCAGAAUCCUACGGGAGGCAGCAGUGGGGAAUAUUGCACAAUGGGCGGAAGCAUGAUGCAGCAACGCCGCGUGCGGGAUGACGGCCUUCGGGUUGUAAACCGCUUUCGCCUGUGACGAAGCGUGAGUGACGGUAAUGGGUAAAGAAGCACCGGCUAACUACGUG
rnacentral:rRNA from 1 species